rnacentral:lncRNA from 1 species
UAUGCCUUUGUUUUGGAACAGUUGUCUGCUCUGUACUUGAUAUUUCACACAUUGAGGGAGACAUUUUUUCAUCAUUUAAAGCAGGUUAUCCAUUCUGGGGAGCCAUAUUUUUUCUAUUUCUGGAAUGUUGUCAAUUAUAUCUGAAAGGAGAAAUGCAACAUAUCUGUGAGAGGAAGCCUGGGAGCAAACACUGCCAGCAGCAUAGCUGGGGGAACGGGAAUUACCAUCCUGAUCAUCAACCUGAAGAAGAGCUUGGCCUAUAUCCACAUCCACAGUUGCCAGAAAUUUUUUGAGACCAAGUGCUUUAUGGCUUCCUUUUCCACUAAAUUGUAGUGAUGAUGCUGUUUCUCACCAUUCUGGGACUUGGUAGUGCUGUGUCACUCACAAUCUGUGGAGCUGGGGAAGAACUCAAAGGAAACAAGUUCCAGAGGAUCGUGUUUAUGAAGAAUUA